rnacentral:rRNA from 1 species
UACGUAGGGUGCAAGCGUUAAUCGGAAUUACUGGGCGUAAAGCGUGCGCAGGCGGUUGUGUAAGCUUGAUGUGAAAUCCCCGGGCUUAACCUGGGAAUGGCAUUGAGGACUGCACGGCUAGAGUGUGUCAGAGGGGGGUAGAAUUCCACGUGUAGCAGUGAAAUGCGUAGAGAUGUGGAGGAAUACCGAUGGCGAAGGCAGCCCCCUGGGAUAACACUGACGCUCAUGCACGAAAGCGUGGGGAGCAAACAGG